CAAUAGCGUAUAUUAAAGUUGUUGCAGUUAAAAAGCUCGUAGUUGAAUUUUUGCUUGCCGCCGAUGUCGGAAUUUCCGUACGUUCGGCGGCGUGCAUCCUUGGGUGGAACCUGUGUGGCAUUAGGUUGUCGUGCAGGGGAUGCUCAUCGUUUACUGUGAAAAAAUUAGAGUGUUCAAAGCAGGCUUACGCCGUUGAAUAUAUUAGCAUGGAAUAAUAAGAUAGGACCUUGGUACUAUUUUGUUGGUUUGCGCACCGAGGUAAUGAUUAAGAGGGACAGUUGGGGGUAUUCGUAUUCCAUUGUCAGAGGUGAAAUUCUUGGAUUUCUGGAAGACGAACUACUGCGAAAGCAUUUACCAAGGAUGUUUCCAUUAA
rnacentral:rRNA from 1 species